CGGGCACUGCCCUUCCCGUGCAGGGGAGAAUUCCGGUGGCCUUACUCAAUUCCGAGGGAGCUGGCUCUGAGCGGAUCCUGGUCCGUUUACCUGGCGCCCACCUGUUCUUACAGGUCCUCGGGAAUUUAAAAACCCCACGUUUGCGGUGGUCCCGUC
rnacentral:misc_RNA from 1 species